rnacentral:rRNA from 1 species
GUAGGGAAUAUUGGGCAAUGGUCGGAAGACUGACCCAGCCAUGCCGCGUGCAGGAAGACGGCCCUCGGGGUUGUAACCUGCUUUUAUCUGGGAAGAAAAAGGCCAUGCGUGGCAAAUUGCCGGUACCAGAUGAAUAAGCACCGGCUAACUCCGUGCCAGCAGCCGCGGUAAUACGGAGGGUGCGAGCGUUGUCCGGAUUUAUUGGGUUUAAAGGGUGCGUAGGCGGCUGAUUAAGUCAGCGGUGAAAGACUUCGGCUUAACCGGAGCAGUGCCGUUGAUACUGGUUGGCUUGAGUGUCGGAGGGGUACAUGGAAUUGAUGGUGUAGCGGUGAAAUGCAUAGAUACCAUCAGGAACACCGAUAGCGAAGGCAUUGUACUGGCCGACAACUGACGCUGAUGCACGAAAGUGUGGGGAUCGAACAGGAUUAGAUACCCCAGUAGUCC